GGAACUGCUGGGGAGGAUGAUCUGCCAGUGGCAUUCCAUACAGCCCUGGUCACAGCAAGAGCAGAAGAACACGGUUGGCUGACAUAGUGGAUAGGCUUGGAAUCAGGACUCUUCCUCUUCCUGAAUUCAAAUCUGGCCUCAGACACAUAGUACUUGUGCUGGCAUGAGAAACACCUUUCCAGUUGAGAAGGAAAAGGAAGAACGUCCUAUUGUCUAUGGCUAAGCUUUUCUGCCUCUCCUUCCCAGGAUGACCAAAAGAGAAAUUAUGUAUCACAGAAUCACAGAGUUUGAAGGAUCCUUGGAAUUCACCUAGUCCAACCUUUACCUAAUGUAAGAAAGAGGAGCCCCCACAUGUACAGCAAGGGAGUUGUCAUUGUGUAUGGCUCCAAGGGAGAUUUUCAUUCCUGCCAGGAGGGAAAACAGAAGGUUGGGAUUGGAGGCUACUACUCUGUUCUCCUUAGCACCAGACAAAUAUUCUAUUAGUAGUCUAGGAGAUAUGAUUGAAUUCAAGCUCACUUUUGAUUGUUUUGUCAUUUUGGGGGGAAGGAGAACCUCAAGCUCUUAUCCAAGGCCUGAUCCCUUUCCCACCUAAGAUCUAUCCAAGGAGAGCAUAAAAGCUUGCAAUCUAUUUUCCCCCCUCUCCCAACCCAUGUAGACUGAGCCUAAAUAUCUUCUCCAAAGGAAGAACAGGAGGGGAGUGCUAGAGAAGAAAUCAAGCCAGAGAGUAAUAAAUGUCUGAGAAAAUGAUCCACUUCAUUCCCUGGUGCAUCAAAAGGGCAACUCCUCUUUGGGCUGACUUUGAUGACAUGAUUCUCAACAUGUUUCUCCAAAAGCCCCUUAGUUUUUCUUAGUCUGCUUAGUUUUAGCUUACCGUCUAAGUUACA